rnacentral:lncRNA from 1 species
GUUCAAUGUGAUGUACCCUGAGUACUGUCUGAAUUUCAUUGAUGACUGGCUUAAAAGUUCGCCAACCAAAUGUUCCAAAAGAAUGCCUAUAAGAGAAAAAGACUGAGAUAAUAUUAAGAUUAUUGGAGGGAGGUAUCCCACUAUAGCCGAAGCUCAUCUUCGCCAACUACUUGGAGGAACCGAUCCCCCUAGGGGUUUGGCAUCGCCUUGUCUACUUCGAUCUCUGCAGCAAAUACAUCACCAAGAGAUACGAACCCUUGACCACCUACUUCGGAGAACGACUAUGGAUCAGACGAACAAUCUCCGUCUAGAGCUCAAGUUGAGGAACACCAAAUGAUUCUCUAUGUGGAUCUGUUGGGCUCCAUUG